UGGGAGCUUGAGGAAUACCAGAG
rnacentral:piRNA from 1 species